rnacentral:rRNA from 1 species
CUAAUACAUGCAAGUCGAGCGGACCGACGGGAGCUUGCUCCCUUAGGUCAGCGGCGGACGGGUGAGUAACACGUGGGUAACCUGCCUGUAAGACUGGGAUAACUCCGGGAAACCGGGGCUAAUACCGGAUGCUUGAUUGAACCGCAUGGUUCAAUCAUAAAAGGUGGCUUUCAGCUACCACUUACAGAUGGACCCGCGGCGCAUUAGCUAGUUGGUGAGGUAACGGCUCACCAAGGCGACGAUGCGUAGCCGACCUGAGAGGGUGAUCGGCCACACUGGGACUGAGACACGGCCCAGACUCCUACGGGAGGCAGCAGUAGGGAAUCUUCCGCAAUGGACGAAAGUCUGACGGAGCAACGCCGCGUGAGUGAUGAAGGUUUUCGGAUCGUAAAACUCUGUUGUUAGGGAAGAACAAGUACCGUUCGAAUAGGGCGGCACCUUGACGGUACCUAACCAGAAAGCCACGGCUAACUACGUGCCAGCAGCCGCGGUAAUACGUAGGUGGCAAGCGUUGUCCGGAAUUAUUGGGCGUAAAGCGCGCGCAGGCGGUUUCUUAAGUCUGAUGUGAAAGCCCCCGGCUCAACCGGGGAGGGUCAUUGGAAACUGGGGAACUUGAGUGCAGAAGAGGAGAGUGGAAUUCCACGUGUAGCGGUGAAAUGCGUAGAGAUGUGGAGGAACACCAGUGGCGAAGGCGACUCUCUGGUCUG